rnacentral:rRNA from 1 species
UACGAAGGGAGCUAGCGUUGUUCGGAAUCACUGGGCGUAAAGCGCACGUAGGCGGAUUUGUAAGUCAGGGGUGAAAUCCCGGGGCUCAACCUCGGAACUGCCUUUGAUACUACAGAUCUCGAGUCCGAUAGAGGUGGGUGGAAUUCCUAGUGUAGAGGUGAAAUUCGUAGAUAUUAGGAAGAACACCGGUGGCGAAGGCGGCCCACUGGAUCGGUACUGACGCUGAGGUGCGAAAGCGUGGGGAGCAAAC